UACGGAGGGUGCAAGCGCUGCUCGGAAUUAUUGGGCGUAAAGGGUAGGUAGGUGGUCUCAUUUGUCUGGGGUGAAAGCCUUGAGCUUAACUCAAGAAGUGCCCCAGAAACGGUGAGACUGGAGUCCUGGAGAGGGUCGUGGAAUUCCCGGUGUAGCGGUGAAAUGCGUAGAGAUCGGGAGGAACACCAGAGGCGAAAGCGGCGACCUGGACAGGCACUGACACUCAACUACGAAAGCGUGGGGAGCAAACAGG
rnacentral:rRNA from 1 species